AUCCCAUUUUGAGGGAAUUUGCUUAGUAACUCUUUGAAUCUUCUCCAUGCCUCGUAUAGGGACUCAUCAUCCAUUUGUUGAAAAGUGGUGAUCUCAUUAUGGAACUU
rfam:Gossypium hirsutum cultivar TM-1 chromosome 17, whole genome shotgun sequence